AGUUGCAAGCUUGAGGCUGUAGCAGAAGCGGUCCUGGUGCAGCCCUGUCAGAUUCCAACAAAUCUGCAAAUUCUGCU
rnacentral:ribozyme from 1 species